UUGCCCAGCCUGGAGACCUCGCUGCUGUCACAAAGCCACCGCUCCCCACACCAUUGUCCCACCCAGGCUGGAGGGGGAGGUGGGACAGAUUCCAGCAGCAGAGGAGACACAAGAGAGACAGCAGCCAGAGUCCCUCCUGCGUGGCUGGGGGCAGCCUCGCAACCAACCCAAGAAGUUUGUCAAGAGACUGUGAAUUAG
rnacentral:lncRNA from 1 species